UGGGGAAUUUUGGACAAUGGGCGAAAGCCUGAUCCAGCAAUGCCGCGUGUGUGAAGAAGGCCUUCGGGUUGUAAAGCACUUUUGUCCGGAAAGAAAUCCUUGGCUCUAAUACAGUCGGGGGAUGACGGUCCGGAAGAAUAAGCACCGGCUAACUACGUGCCAGCAGCCGCGGUAAUACGUAGGGUGCAAGCGUUAAUCGGAAUUACUGGGCGUAAAGCGUGCGCAGGCGGUUUGCUAAGACCGAUGUGAAAUCCCCGGGCUCAACCUGGGAACUGCAUUGGUGACUGGGCAGGCUAGAGUAUGGCAGGAGGGGGGUAGAAUUCCACGUGUAGCAGUGAAAUGCGUAGAGAUGUGGAGGAAUACCGAUGGCGAAGGCAGCCCCCUGGGCCAAUACUGACGCUCAUGCACGAAAGCGUGGGGAGCAAACAGGAUUAGAUACCCUGGUAGUCCACGCCCUAAACGAUGUCAACUAGUUGUUGGGGAUUCAUUUCCUUAGUAACGUAGCUAACGCGUGAAGUUGACCGCCUGGGGAGUACGGUCGC
rnacentral:rRNA from 1 species